GGAGCAUUUAUAGCACCACAAGACUAAGAAAACUUUAUCUUUGUCAUUAAAGUGAUUGUGUAAGAUCAAGCCCUCCACAAAACUGUGAAGGACAGCCGGUAAGCGCCAUAUUGGCCAUGUUUGGCUAGAUUGACUGGAGCAGUGCUAAUAAUGCUCUGAAAAAACACUGACUAUAAACUCUUGUUGUAUUGAUAGGAUUUUUUGCAGUGGGAUUUGUAACUCCAAAUGUUGUUUGGUAUUAUUAAAUGUGUGGUUUCAAUGAUAACUUAUAAUUCUUUACAGGGAAAUUAUAGCUUAGAACUAAUAAAUUGAAUUUUUACUACUAAAAAAUAUUUUCUAUUGCAUUUGAUUAAAGAUACUAAUUCUGAUCAUUUGAUUUAAAAUGCUGGGUAUUUAUUGGAUAACAUUUGCUUAAAGUUGGAAACCUUAUAAUUAUAAUGACAGUAAUGUGUUUAUCUGAGUAAAUGUGAAUUGUUUUGUCAACUCAGAUGGUAACUUGUAUUUGUCAUCUCUUUUUGAGGUUUUUCACCUGUUUACUGCCCAAGAAAGAAUGGUUAAUAAAAGACAAACAACUGAUUCCAUGGCUGUUUAUUGAGUGAAAUCCAGUUAAGAUCUUCAUGUGGAGGGACUGUCCUUUUCAAGUGGGGAAUUGCACAAGAAAUAUAUCACAACUUGACAACCACGGUGGUGGUGGCAGCUGAGUCUGACGGGUGCUACAGACGUAUGGCCAAAGGUCUGAUGGCCCGCUUUGAACGAGCUAGGGCUCCUGCACCAACUGCCAUAUAUGCAGAUAACAACUGUUGUCGUGACAGUGGUUCGUCCUUCCUGGAGAAUCUGUUCGGGGGCUGGGUGCAGAAGGGCACUGUGGUCAGACUGGACAUCCGACACUGGCUGCACCGCUGGGAUGCUGUUGUCCUCAAACAGAGCCAUGCCAAGUAUGGGGUGUUCAUGAGUGCCCUGGCAGGUGCAGUGCUGGCCUACAACAAGGACGAUAUGAUGCUCCUAAUCCAGGCAGUCAGGAAGGGCAACCAGGAGUUUCAGACGAGGACAUGAUAGCCUUCCUCAAACCUCACCAGAUCAGGUCCUAUGUCAGACGGAUCACCCGUGGGGUUGAGGAGACAGCUUCAGUAAUUGAGUCCAUCAUUACGGAGUUCAGGGGACCUGCAGGCCUUGACAUUGAUGGAAUCUGUUCAGAUCAGCACAGGCAGUGGAUUCUCACUGGGCAACUGCAAGCAAGCAUCUUAGUUGUAUGCAGCCACUCCGAUGCCUGUUCCGCUCAAUGCAGUUGCCAUGGAACCCCCACCAGUUUCUCAAUCCAUCCACGCUCAGA